AAAAAGGAAGGUCGUUGCAUGAAUAAAUAAUUAAUUAAACGAUUGGAAGAAAGGGUAAGAGUAAAUGGCCAAUUAUAACAGCUGAGGGAGGUCACCAAUGGAGACCCACAGGGACUGUGCUAGGACUCAUGCUGUUUAACAUAUUCUUAAAUGCUGAGAAGCAGAGGGUGGGCUGAGAAGGAGCAAAUUUUACCGAGAAUACCAGUUUAUUCAGGGGAAGAAAUUUGAAGGCCAGCAGUGGAAAACUUCUGGAACUGCUUUCACCUUUAAUGAAAACAAACAUUCCUUUGUUGACCUCCAGACAUUCAGGCUGAGUAAAGGAUGUCCCAGUACUUCUGCAC
ensembl:lncRNA